GCCUGGGUGGCUCAGUUGGUUGGGCGUCCGACUUUGGCUCAGGUCAUGGUCUUGCGGUUUGUGAGUUCGAGCCCCACUCCGGGCU
rnacentral:tRNA from 1 species